ensembl:snRNA U6 U6 spliceosomal RNA
GCAGCAUUGGUUUGCAAAAUCAGUAGGAAUGAUACAUAAAAGAUUAGCAUGGCCCCUUUGCAAGGAUGACACAAAAAUUCAUGAAGCAUUCCAUAUUUUA